AUUGAACGCUGGCGGCAUGCUUUACACAUGCAAGUCGAACGGUAACAGGCCGCAAGGUGCUGACGAGUGGCGAACGGGUGAGUAAUGCAUCGGAACGUGCCCAGUCGUGGGGGAUAACGCAGCGAAAGCUGCGCUAAUACCGCAUACGAUCUAUGGAUGAAAGCGGGGGACCGUAAGGCCUCGCGCGAUUGGAGCGGCCGAUGUCAGAUUAGGUAGGUGGGGGGGUAAAGGCUCACCAAGCCGACGAUCUGUAGCUGGUCUGAGAGGACGACCAGCCACACUGGGACUGAGACACGGCCCAGACUCCUACGGGAGGCAGCAGUGGGGAAUUUUGGACAAUGGGCGCAAGCCUGAUCCAGCAAUGCCGCGUGCAGGAAGAAGGCCUUCGGGUUGUAAACUGCUUUUGUACGGAACGAAAAGGCUCUGGUUAAUACCCGGGGCUCAUGACGGUACCGUAAGAAUAAGCACCGGCUAACUACGUGCCAGCAGCCGCAGUAACAC
rnacentral:rRNA from 1 species